UACGUAGGGUGCAGGCGUUACUCGGAAUUACUGGGCGUAAAGCGUGCGCAGGCGGCCUCUUAAGUCAGAUGUGAAAUCCCCGGGCUUAACCUGGGAACUGCGUUUGAAACUGGGAGGCUAGAGUGUGGAAGAGGGGGGUGGAAUUCCAGGUGUAGCAGUGAAAUGCGUAGAGAUCUGGAGGAACACCGAUGGCGAAGGCAGCCCCCUGGGCUGACACUGACGCUCAUGCACGAAAGCGUGGGGAGCAAACAGG
rnacentral:rRNA from 1 species